UACGUAGGGACCGAGCGUUGUCCGGAAUCAUUGGGCGUAAAGAGCGUGUAGGCGGCCACUUAAGUCCUGCGUGAAAUCUUGCGGCUCAACCGCAAGCGGUCGUGGGAAACUGGGUGGCUAGAGUGCGGGAGAGGAGAGUGGAAUUCCUGGUGUAGCGGUGGAAUGCGCAGAUAUCAGGAAGAACACCCGUGGCGAAGGCGCUCUCUGGAACGCAACUGACGCUGAGACGCGAAAGCGUGGGGAGCAAACAGG
rnacentral:rRNA from 1 species